AGAGCUCUCCGGGGUUGCGCGGCAGCUAAAGAAGGUUUUGCACGGAACUGCUUCCACAACAAAUCACCCAAGCACUCCUAUGCGGCCCGCCUCAAGGCCUGCAACAUCUGACAUACCAGCACUGCAGGACACUCCCCCAAGACCACCAUCUGAAGGACUAGAGUCUGAGAUGACAGUCGAUCUUGUUCCGGGCUCCGGGGUUCGGGUUCCCAAGUACAAGUUAAAUG